rnacentral:rRNA from 1 species
UACGUAGGCAGCAAGCGUUGUUCGGAGUUACUGGGCGUAAAGAGUAUGUAGGCGGUUGCGUAAGUUCGGUGUGAAAUCUCCCGGCUUAACUGGGAGGGUGCGCCGAAAACUGCGUGGCUUGAGUGCGGGAGAGGAGAGCGGAAUUCCUGGUGUAGCGGUGAAAUGCGUAGAUAUCAGGAGGAACACCGGCGGUGUAGGCGGCUCGUCUGGACCGUAACUGACGCUGAGGAGCGAAAGCGUGGGGAGCGAACGGG